rnacentral:lncRNA from 1 species
UUUUUAUGCUGGGCCAGAAGCUGAAUGUCUUUACUUCUGAGCUUUAGCGUGUCUUUUGUCUGGGCUGCUGCCUGCAGCAUGUGUACCACUGAUCUCAGGCAGCCUACAACACAAGCAGUCGGGAGAAGGGGUCUGGCUGCACAGUGUCCUAUACAAACUCGGGGAUAAGGAAACCGGGCAAGAGAAGCCUGAAGUCUGACUAGAUGCCCAGAUCAGACCCCUGUGCCUGUGAGAAGGAUUUGGAAAUUUAGCUGCAUAUUUUGCAGCUGUUGAUCCUCAGCUGUGAAGGCUGCAUCUCAGGCAGCAGGCCCCAGGGUCCCUGGUCCUUCUCUCAGCCUCAGACAACCCCAGACUGUGUUGUGGCACUGAC